UUUAAGUUUGGUUUGUGUUCAGCGUGGGGCUUGGAUAAAGAAUUAUCAUUGCUUUGACAGAGCUAAGGAGAUAUAGCUCCACAGCUUUCAUGCUUAUAGAUAUCCUUGCUCUGCUUCAUCACCGUGACCCUGCUGAAGCACCUUAGGGGUCCUGGAAGCCCUCUGAGAAGGAUCACAAGCUGGUCUGCAUUGGUGAGAGAGACUGGAAAAACGAGAAACGGAAAGAACUGAAAUGGAUAUCUCUUUCCAUGCCUAGUUUUGAUGAUGCCUCCCCAGCUACUGCCAUUGGCUCUGGACUGCCUGUGAUGUCACAAAAGGACAUGGCCACGGAGUAGCUAUAACGGUACAGUGGGCAACCACUGUGAUCUUCAGCACUGGGUGGCCUCCUUCCACAUGGAGGUGAAUUGGCGGGCGGGAGGCAAUCAUCCAGCAGCAGGAGCCUACAGAGAGAUGAGAUGGCGAGUUUGCUUGUUGAGUGGGAUUGCAGUUUAUCUUCACAGUCGGAACCUGGCUCAUCUCUGGCAACAGAACUGAGAGAAGCUGGCAGAUAUUGGUGGACGGAAGCUGGUGGAGUUUGCAUUCGGAAGCCAGUGGAUGCCACAAGCCUGAUGUUUGCGAAUGGAUGUCUGAAGCCAACGAGGUUUUUCUUGAGAUCACCUGUGAAAGUAACGAAACAGACAACAGGGCUUAGGAAAGUUCAGCUGAUUUGGGGCACGGGCAGUUCAGCUGCAAAGAAAUCGGUAAGAUCCAACUAUCAGCUGUCAAGGUUUUGCAGAGUGGUUUGAAUGCUUCGCGGCUGUGCAUUGCCUGCAGGGGUUGUUUAUAAACCGUACAGGCAAAAAAGGUCAACUGACGUCAUGCUGUCACAUGACUGACAUCAAAUGUGGCCUGUGGGGUGAUGGUGAUGGAUGGCGGAAGAUAAUCAGGCCCUUCAUGGUUUUCAAAGGCAGCCAGCACCCAAUUUUUAUGACUGCUUUAGUGGCACAGAUUUGCAAGACAGUAUAACCAGGAGAUGGCUGCAGUGAAAAUGAUUGUGGUUUGCUCUCUAUUUCCCCAAAAUAUCUGCAACCAGAUGCUUAGUACUGGAUUUGCAUAUUGACAACUGACGCUGUAGAAAUGAAAUUAAAUAGCUCAUCCAUAUAAUGGAGAAUUGCAACAUUCAGCUGCUGUGGAUUUCUUGCUGUAUUUUUCCCUUCUGGGAGAAACAGGAGUCAGGACUUAACACUUCUGUGCUCAAGGAAAAAGUCUCAAUUAAGAGCUGAACUGUUUAAAAAAAACUGCAGCAACUGUGAGUUUAUAUAAUGAAGACAAUAUACAAAUUAGACCUGAAUGCAUUUUCCCACUUUAAAAAUAAAACAAAACCCACAUAUAUUCCUUCUGUUUAAAAAUUACUUUCGAGGAGGUGUCUUUCCAUAUGACUAUUUUUUAAUCAGAAAACUGUGAAUAGAAUUUCCUUUUUUCUUUUCUUUUCAUGCUUAUGCUUAAUCUGUUUUGGUAGUGCCGAAAUAAAAAUAACAAUACAAAUUGUUUC